CAGAGAAUAACAUCCAUGUUUCGCUGCAGAUCAUCUCGUCCUCCCAGGGGCAAGGAAAUGGCUGCAAUGGAGCUGGCUCAGGGGCCGGUGACCUUCGAGGAGGUGGCUGUGUAUUUCUCCAGGGAAGAGGGGACUCUGCUGGACCCCACUCAGAGAGCCCUCUACAGAGAUGUCAUGCAGGGGAACUAUGAGACGAUGGUCUUGCUGGCCUCAAUAGGUCCCUGUGAUGGAAUGUAAGGCUACAUCUAGACUACCCACCGUAUCGGCGGGUUAAAAUCGAUUGCUCGGGGAUCGAUAUAUGGCGUCUCAUCUAGACGCCAUAUAUCGAUCCCCGAGCGCGCUUAUAUCGAUUCCGGAACAACACCAACCCCAACGGAGUUGCUGAUUUGACAGGGGGAGCCGCGGACAUCGAUCCCGCGCGGUGAGGAUG